rnacentral:rRNA from 1 species
GAUGAACGCUGGCGGCGUGCCUAAUACAUGCAAGUCGAGCGAACAGACGAGGAGCUUGCUCCUCUGACGUUAGCGGCGGACGGGUGAGUAACACGUGGAUAACCUACCUAUAAGACUGGGAUAACUUCGGGAAACCGGAGCUAAUACCGGAUAAUAUAUUGAACCGCAUGGUUCAAUAGUGAAAGACGGUUUUGCUGUCACUUAUAGAUGGAUCCGCGCCGCAUUAGCUAGUUGGUAAGGUAACGGCUUACCAAGGCAACGAUGCGUAGCCGACCUGAGAGGGUGAUCGGCCACACUGGAAAUGAGACACGGGCCAGACUCCUACGGGAGGCAGCAGUAGGGAAUCUUCCGCAAUGGGCGAAAGCCUGACGGAGCAACGCCGCGUGAGUGAUGAAGGGCUUCGGAUCGUAAAACCCUGUUAUUAGGGAAGAACAAAUGUGUAAGUAACUAUGCACGUCUUGACGGUACCUAAGCAGAAAGCCACGGCUAACUACGU